AUCGAACGCUGGCGGCAGGCCUAACACAUGCAAGUCGAACGAGUGGCGGACGGGUGAGUAAUGUCUGGGCCACUGUCUGCUGGAGGGUGAUAACUACUGGCAACGGUAGCUAAUACCGCAUACCACCAUUUGUGCCCAGAUGGGAUUGGCUAGUUGGUGGGGUAUCGGCUCACCACGGCGACGAUCCCUAGCUGGACUGACAGGACGACCGGCGAAACUGGAAAGGUGAAACGGUCAGGACUCCUACGGGGGGCGACAGAGGGGAAUGUUGCACAAUGGGCGCAAGCCUGAUGAAGACAUGCCGGGUGUAUGAAGAGGGCCUUCGGGUUGUAAAGUACUUUCAGCGGGGAGGCGUUACCCACAGAAGAAGCACCGGCGAACUCCGUGCCAGCAGCCGCGGUAAUUC
rnacentral:rRNA from 1 species